CGCCAAUGAUUUGAGUAGCUAGAUAUCGUAAACGUCACCGACGUCUUUGUCUCUGCAGGCGACUGUUCCCCAAAACCAAAUCGGAUGAAGUUUUUUUUUUAAAACGUCUCACGUCGAUAAAGUAGAUUUCUUUCAAGAUGACGACUGAGGGGGAAUACGAAUCAAUUAUCUGUGUUAAACCAGAUAUCAGUGUUUACCGCAUCCCACCUCGAGCUACGAAUCGUGGAUACAGAGCGGCUGACUGGAAGUUGGAUGCUCCUGAUUGGACAGGGCGGAUGCGGAUAACUGCAAAGGGAAAGGUGGCAUAUAUCAAACUGGAAGACAAACUCUCAGGUGAGCUGUUUGCUCAGGCACCAGUUCAGGAAUACCCUGGUAUUGCCGUGGAGACGGUUAAUGAUUCCAGCCGGUACUUCGUGCUCCGAAUACAAGAUGAUAACGGUCGGAGUGCAUACAUUGGGGUUGGAUUCAGUGACAGGGGUGAUGCGUUUGAUUUCAGUGUUGCUCUGCAGGAUCAUUUCAAGUGGGUGAAACAGGAGAAUGAAAUCAGCAAAAGUGCUCAGGCUGCAGACUCUGGGCCAAAGAUGGAGCUGGGCUUUAAGGAGGGACAGACCAUUACACUCAACAUUGGGCAAGGCAAAAAAAGGGAUAAGCCCCGCCCCCAGAGUUCAGGAGGCCUUGGCCUUCUCCCACCUCCCCCUGGAGGCAAAAUAGCCCCUCCACCUUCUUCUAAACAUAACAUGGAACAACACCUAGGGGGAGCACAGAUUGGUUGUUUGUUAGAAUUGGAUAGUAGUAACUCCAAUACAGUGGUUCAGGCAAACCUGAGUUCAGACCUGUGGGGUGACUUCUCUUCCACUGCAAGGUAACAACCCCAGACAAUCUUAACUGCUGUUCUAAGUCCACCUUUUCAAAGUCCUAAUCAUUAAAACAGCUCUGUUCCUUCUUCAGCACCACAACAAGAACCAACUUCUGGGAACUGGGUCCAGUUUUGAUCAUCAUUUUAUCAUCUGCCACAUCAUUUCAUGAGAUAUCCCAUAAGUCUGUCACUGACUAAACAUUCAAAGUGAAAUGUAUUAGAUCAUUAGUUAAGGGACCUUAGAAAGAACUGAUGUGUUACAGAUUAAAUCAUGAAUUUCUUCAACCUCAGAAACCUCAGAAAUUAAUA